rnacentral:rRNA from 1 species
AUUGAACGCUGGCGGCAUGCUUUACACAUGCAAGUCGAACGGCAGCACGGGGGCAACCCUGGUGGCGAGUGGCGAACGGGUGAGUAAUGCAUCGGAACGUACCCAGUCGUGGGGGAUAACGCAGCGAAAGUUGUGCUAAUACCGCAUACGACCUGAGGGUGAAAGCGGGGGACCGUAAGGCCUCGCGCGAUUGGAGCGGCCGAUGUCUGAUUAGCUAGUUGGUGGGGUAAAGGCCCACCAAGGCGACGAUCAGUAGCGGGUCUGAGAGGAUGAUCCGCCACACUGGGACUGAGACACGGCCCAGACUCCUACGGGAGGCAGCAGUGGGGAAUUUUGGACAAUGGGGGCAACCCUGAUCCAGCCAUGCCGCGUGCGGGAAGAAGGCCUUCGGGUUGUAAACCGCUUUCGGACGGAAAGAAAUCGCAUGGGUUAAUACCCUGUGUGGAUGACGGUACCGUAAGAAGAAGCACCGGCUAACUACGUG